CCCUUGACUCUGGGAUAAGCCUGGGAAACUGGGUCUAAUACUGGAUACGACAUGUCACCGCAUGGUGGUGUGUGGAAAGGGUUUUACUGGUUUUGGAUGGGCUCACGGCCUAUCAGCUUGUUGGUGGGGUAAUGGCUCACCAAGGCGACGACGGGUAGCCGGCCUGAGAGGGUGACCGGCCACACUGGGACUGAGACACGGCCCAGACUCCUACGGGAGGCAGCAGUGGGGAAUAUUGCACAAUGGGCGNAAGCCUGAUGCAGCGACGCCGCGUGAGGGAUGACGGCCUUCGGGUUGUAAACCUCUUUCAGCACGGAAGAAGCGAAAGUGACGGUACGUGCAGAAGAAGCGCCGGCUAACUACGUGCCAGCAGCCGCGGUAAUACGUAGGGCGCAAGCGUUGUCCGGAAUUAUUGGGCGUAAAGAGCUCGUAGGCGGUUUGUCGCGUCUGCUGUGAAAGCCCGGGGCUUAACCCCGGGUGUGCAGUGGGUACGGGCAGACUUGAGUGCAGUAGGGGAGACUGGAAUUCCUGGUGUAGCGGUGAAAUGCGCAGAUAUCAGGAGGAACACCGAUGGCGAAGGCAGGUCUCUGGGCUGUUACUGACGCUGAGGAGCGAAAGCAUGGGGAGAGCGAACAGGAUUAGAUACCCUGGUAGUCCAUGCCGUAAACGUUGGGCACUAGGUGUGGGGAACAUUCCACGUUUUCCGCGCCGUAGCUAACGCAUUAAGUGCCCCGCCUGGGGAGUACGGCCGCAAGGCUAAAACUCAAAGGAAUUGACGGGGGCCCGCACAAGCGGCGGAGCAUGCGGAUUAAUUCGAUGCAACGCGAAGAACCUUACCAAGGCUUGACAUACACCGGAGCGGGCCAGAGAUGGUCUUUCCCCCUUGUGGGGCUGGUGUACAGGUGGUGCAUGGUUGUCGUCAGCUCGUGUCGUGAGAUGUUGGGUUAAGUCCCGCAACGAGCGCAACCCUCGUUCUAUGUUGCCAGCACGUGAUGGUGGGGACUCAUAGGAGACUGCCGGGGUCAACUCGGAGGAAGGUGGGGAUGACGUCAAAUCAUCAUGCCCCUUAUGUCUUGGGCUUCACGCAUGCUACAAUGGCCAGUACAAUGGGUUGCGAUGCCGCGAGGUGGAGCUAAUCCCAAAAAGCUGGUCUCAGUUCGGAUCGUGGUCUGCAACUCGACCACGUGAAGUCGGAGUCGCUAGUAAUCGCAGAUCAGCAACGCUGCGGUGAAUACGUUCC
rnacentral:rRNA from 1 species